rnacentral:rRNA from 1 species
AACGAACGCUGGCGGCAUGCCUAACACAUGCAAGUCGAACGAGACCUGCGGGUCUGGUGGCGCACGGGGGCGUAACGGGGGGGAACCUGCCCUUAGGUUCGGAAGAACGCGCCGGAAGGGGUGCGAAUACCGGAUAAUGUCUUCGGACCGAAGAUUUAUCGCCUUUGGAUGGGCUCGGGUUGGAUUAGCUAGUUGGUAGGGUAAAAGCCUACCAAGGCGUGGAGCCAUAGCUGGUUUGAGAGGAGGAUCCGCCACACUGGGACUGAGACACGGCCCAGACUCUUACGGGAGGGAGCAGUGGGGAAUAUUGGACAAUGGGCGAAAGCAUGAUCCAGCAAUGCCGCGUGAGUGAUGAAGGCUUUAGGGUUGUAAAGCUCUUUUACCCGGGAUGAUAAUGACAGUACCGGGAGAAUAAGCUCCGGCUAACUCCGUG